AUUCCGUUUGGGGGUGCCGUGGAUGUCAUGUUGGGAUUUAACAAACCCCGGCGCGGAAUGUGCCAAGGAAAACAAAAGUGAGAAGGACUUGUCUUGUCUUGCCCCGUUCGCGGUGUGCAAGUGGGUCGUGGCCUCUUUGUAAUUAAAAACGACUCUCGGCAACGGAUAUCUCGGCUCACGCAUCGAUGAAGAACGUAGCAAAAUGCGAUACUUGGUGUGAAUUGCAGAAUCCCGUGAACCAUCGAGUUUUUGAACGCAAGUUGCGCCCGAAGCCAUCCGGUUGAGGGCACGCCUGCCUGGGCGUCACGCUUCGCAUCGCCCCCCACCAUACAUACCCAACGGGUACUAAUGGUGUUUGGGGCGGAGAUUGGCCUCCCGCACCUCUGAUGCGGUUGGCCUAAAAAUGAGUCCCCUUCAGCGGACACACGACUAGUGGUGGUUGAACAGACCCUCGUCCUUAUCGUGUGUCGUGAGCUGCAAGGGAAACCCUCACCAAAGACCCUAUUGCAUUGUUUUUUGGACAAUGCUUCGACCGCGACCCCAGGUCAGGCGGGACUACCCGCUGAG
rnacentral:rRNA from 1 species